rnacentral:rRNA from 1 species
GACGAACGCUGGCGGCGUGCCUAAUACAUGCAAGUUGAGCGAUGAAGAUUGGUGCUUGCACCAAUUUGAAGAGCAGCGAACGGGUGAGUAACGCGUGGGGAAUCUGCCUUUGAGCGGGGGACAACAUUUGGAAACGAAUGCUAAUACCGCAUAACAACUUUAAACAUAAGUUUUAAGUUUGAAAGAUGCAAUUGCAUCACUCAAAGAUGAUCCCGCGUUGUAUUAGCUAGUUGGUGAGGUAAGGCUCACCAAGGCGAUGAUACAUAGCCGACCUGAGAGGGUGAUCGGCCACAUUGGGACUGAGACACGGCCCAAACUCCUACGGGAGGCAGCAGUAGGGAAUCUUCGGCAAUGGACGAAAGUCUGACCGAGCAACGCCGCGUGAGUGAAGAAGGGUUUCGGAUCGUAAAACUCUGUUGGUAGAGAAGAACGUUGGUGAGAGUGGAAAGCUCAUCAAGUGACGGUAACUACCCAGAAAGGGACGGCUAACUACGUG